rnacentral:misc_RNA from 1 species
GAAAUGCGAUAAUUAAUGUGAAUUGCAGAAUUCAGUGAAUCAUCGGGUCUUUGAACGCACAUUGCGCCCCCUGGUAUUCCGGGGGGCAUGCCUGUCCGAGCGUCAUUGCUGCCCUCAAGCACGGCUUGUGUGUUGGGCUUCCGUCCCUGGCAACGGGGACGGGCCCAAAAGGCAGUGGCGGCACCAUGUCUGGUCCUCGAGCGUAUGGGGCUUUGUCACCCGCUCCCGUAGGUCCAGCUGGCAGCUAGCCUCGCAACCAAUCUUUUUAACCAGGUUGACCUCGGAUCAGGUAGGGAUACCCGCUGAACUUAAGC